UACAGGGGGGGCAAGCGUUGUUCGGAAUUACUGGGCGUAAAGGGCUCGUAGGUGGCCGACUAGGUCGGACGUGAAAUCCCUCAGCUUAACUGGGGAACUGCGUCCGAUACUGGAUGGCUUGAGUUUGGGAGAGGGAUGCGGAAUUCCAGGUGUAGCGGUGAAAUGCGUAGAUAUCUGGAGGAACACCGGUGGCGAAGGCGGCAUCCUGGACCAACACUGACACUGAGGAGCGAAAGCCAGGGGAGCAAACGGG
rnacentral:rRNA from 1 species